rnacentral:rRNA from 1 species
GACGAACGCUGGCGGCGUGCUUAACACAUGCAAGUCGAACGAGGAGCGAUGGAAGCUUGCUUCUAUCAAUCUUAGUGGCGAACGGGUGAGUAACGCGUAAUCAACCUGCCCUUCAGAGGGGGACAACAGUUGGAAACGACUGCUAAUACCGCAUACGAUCCAAUCUCGGCAUCGGGACUGGAUGAAAGGUGGCCUCUAUUUAUAAGCUAUCACUGAAGGAGGGGAUUGCGUCUGAUUAGCUAGUUGGAGGGGUAACGGCCCACCAAGGCGAUGAUCAGUAGCCGGUCUGAGAGGAUGAACGGCCACAUUGGGACUGAGACAAGGCCCAGACUCCUACGGGAGGCAGCAGUGGGGAAUCUUCCGAAAUGGACGAAAGUCUGACGGAGCAACGCCGCGUGAGUGAUGACGGCCUUCGGGUUGUAAAGCUCUGUUAAUCGGGACGAAUGGUUCUUGUGCGAAUAGUGCGAGGAUUUGACGGUACCGGAAUAGAAAGCCACGGCUAACUACGUG